AAUAACGAUAAGGCCUCGGGGAGCUGUAAGCAAGCUUUGAUCCGGGGAUGUCCGAAUGGGGAAACCCGGCUGUCUUCAUCGACAGUCACUACUCACUGAAUUCAUAGGUGAGUGAGAGGCAGACCAGGGGAACUGAAACAUCUAAGUACCCUGAGGAAGAGAAAACAAUAGUGAUUCCGUCAGUAGCGGCGAGCGAACGCGGAUUAGCCCAAACCAAGGAGCUUGCUCCUUGGGGUUGUGGGACGUCUCACAUGGAGUUACAAAGGAACCGGUUAGACGAAGAGGUCUGGAAAGGCCCGCCAGAGAAGGUAAAAGCCCUGUAGUUCAAAACCCGUUCCCUCCGAGACGGAUCCCGAGUAGUGCGGGGCACGUGAAACCCCGUAUGAAUCCGGCAGGACCAUCUGCCAAGGCUAAAUACUCCCUGGCGACCGAUAGUGAAGCAGUACCGUGAGGGAAAGGUGAAAAGCACCCCGGAAGGGGAGUGAAAUAGAUCCUGAAACCGUGUGCUUACAAGAAGUCAGAGCCCGAUCUAUGGGUGAUGGCGUGCCUUUUGUAGAAUGAACCGGCGAGUUACGUUCCCGUGCAAGGUUAAGGUGAAGAGCUGAAGCCGCAGCGAAAGCGAGUCUGAAUAGGGCGAAUGAGUACGUGGACGUAGACCCGAAACCGGGUGAUCUACCCCUGUCCAGGGUGAAGGUGCGGUAACACGCACUGGAGGCCCGAACCCACGCAUGUUGAAAAAUGCGGGGAUGAGGUGGGGGUAGCGGAGAAAUUCCAAUCGAACCCGGAGAGUAGCUG
rnacentral:rRNA from 1 species